rnacentral:rRNA from 1 species
CCUACGGGAGGCAGCAGUCGAGAAUCAUUCACAAUGGGGGAAACCCUGAUGGUGCGACGCCGCGUGGGGGAAUGAAGGUCUUCGGAUUGUAAACCCCUGUCAUGUGGGCGCAAAUUAAAAAGAUAGUACCACAAUAGGAAGAGACGGCAAACUCUGUGCCAGCAGCCGCGGUAAUACAGAGGUCUCAAGCGUUGUUCGGAAUCACUGGGCGUAAAGCGUGCGUAGGCUGUUUCGUAAGUAGUGUGUGAAACGCGCGGGCUUAACCCGCGGACGGCACAUGAUACUGCGAGACUAGAGUAAUGGAGGGGGAACCGGAAUUCCCGGUGUAGCAGUGAAAUGCGUAGAUA